rnacentral:rRNA from 1 species
GGCAACAGCUCAAAUUUGAAAUCUGGCCCCUAGGGCCCGAGUUGUAAUUUGCAGAGGAUGCUUUUGGCGAGGUGCCUUCCGAGUUCCCUGGAACGGGACGCCAUAGAGGGUGAGAGCCCCGUCUGGUUGGAUGCCGAGCCUCUGUAAAGCUCCUUCGACGAGUCGAGUAGUUUGGGAAUGCUGCUCUAAAUGGGAGGUAUAUGUCUUCUAAAGCUAAAUACCGGCCAGAGACCGAUAGCGCACAAGUAGAGUGAUCGAAAGAUGAAAAGCACUUUGAAAAGAGGGUUAAAUAGUACGUGAAAUUGUUGAAAGGGAAGCACUUAUGACCAGACUUGGACCCGGUGAAUCAUCCAGCGUUCUCGCUGGUGCACUUUGCCGGGCUCAGGCCAGCAUCAGUUUGCCCCGGGGGAUAAAGGCUUUGGGAAUGUGGCUCCCUCGGGAGUGUUAUAGCCCAUUGCAUAAUACCCUGGGGCGGACUGAGGUUCGCGCAUCUGCAAGGAUGCUGGCGUAAUGGUCAUCAGUGACCCGUCUUGAAACACGGACCAAGGAGUCGUCUUCGUAUGCGAGUGUUCGGGUGUAAAACCCCUACGCGUAAUGAAAGUGAACGCAGGUGAGAGCUUCGGCGCAUCAUCGACCGAUCCUGAUGUUCUCGGAUGGAUUUGAGUAAGAGCAUACGGGGCCGGACCCGAAAGAAGGUGAACUAUGCCUGUAUAGGGUGAAGCCAGAGGAAACUCUGGUGGAGGCUCGCAGCGGUUCUGACGUGCAAAUCGAUCGUCAAAUAUGGGCAUGGGGGCGAAAGACUAAUCGAACCUUCUAGUAGCUGGUUUCCGCCGAAGUUUCCCUCAGGAUAGCAGUGUUGAACUCAGUUUUAUGAGGUAAAGCGAAUGAUUAGGGACCCGGGGGCGCUGUUAUGCCUUCAUCCAUUCUCAAACUUUAAAUAUGUAAGAAGCCCUUGUUACUUAGCUGAACGUGGGCAUUCGAAUGUAUCAACACUAGUGGGCCAUUUUUGGUAAGCAGAACUGGCGAUGCGGGAUGAACCGAACGCGAGGUUAAGGUGCCAGAGUAGACGCUCAUCAGACACCACAAAAGGUGUUAGUACAUCUUGACAGCAGGACGGUGGCCAUGGAAGUCGGAAUCCGCUAAGGACUGUGUAACAACUCACCUGCCGAAUGUACUAGCCCUGAAAAUGGAUGGCGCUCAAGCGUCUCACCCAUACCUCGCCCUCAGGGUAGAAACGAAGCCCUGAGGAGUAGGCGGACGUGGAGGUCA